rnacentral:tRNA from 1 species
CGGUGCUGGUCGGCGGGCGGGACGCCGGGCUCAAGCAGGCGCUGCUGGGUGCGUUCGGCGCGGCCGGGUUCGACGCGCGGGACGCCGCC